rnacentral:lncRNA from 1 species
GCCGCCAUCUCCAGUGUGGCUGGAUGUAAAGUGAGCAAGCUAGAAACCCGAGAAAGCUUUAGAUCUGAAGCUCAAAUAAGCACCUGCCUUGAGGGACUCGGGAGGUUGUCUUUCUUCCCCCCGGACAGGGCUUGGGGUAUUAAACAAGUGAGAUCGACCCACGGAUUUGGGGGUUGUCUCACGGGCGUUGGCUUUUGUCGCCCCCACUGAACAGUUUUCUCAGUUUGACUACGUACGGCCGUUAGAGAAAUUAGCGAGCUGAAGACUGAACACGCUUGGGAGGAGAGGGAUGGGGAUCAAAUGUAUCAGAAAGGAGCUAAAUCUGAUGCCUACUCAACGUGAAGACAAUGAGAAGCCCUUUGUGAUGAUCCACGUCCACCUAAUGAAUGACCAAGUCAUCUGACUCCAACCUAACUCUGGGAAACUGAGAAAUGGCUUCUGUGUGCUCAGGAAGAAGAAACAGAUGGGAUUGGUGAGCAUCUAGCCAAUUUCCACCACAAAUGCUCAUUUUGGCUGCCUCCAGGCCAAAGGUAAUA